rnacentral:rRNA from 1 species
AGGGUUUGAUUCUGGCUCAGGAUGAACGCUGGCGGCGUGCUUAACACAUGCAAGUCGAGCGAAGCAAUUUAAGUGAAGUUUUCGGAUGGAUCUUAAAUUGACUGAGCGGCGGACGGGUGAGUAACGCGUGGAUAACCUGCCUCACACAGGGGGAUAACAGUUAGAAAUGACUGCUAAUACCGCAUAAGCGCACAGUACCGCAUGGUAUAGUGUGAAAAACUCCGGUGGUGUGAGAUGGAUCCGCGUCUGAUUAGGUAGUUGGUGAGGUAACGGCCCACCAAGGCAACGAUCAGUAGGGGUUCUGAGAGGAAGGUCCCCCACAUUGGAACUGAGACACGGUCCAA